CCUACGGGUGGCAGCAGUGGGGAAUAUUGGGCAAUGGGCGCAAGCCUGACCCAGCAACGCCGCGUGAAGGAAGAAGGCUUUCGGGUUGUAAACUUCUUUUCUCAGGGACGAAACAAGUGACGGUACCUGAGGAAUAAGCCACGGCUAACUACGUGCCAGCAGCCGCGGUAAUACGUAGGUGGCAAGCGUUAUCCGGAUUUACUGGGUGUAAGGGGCGUGUAGGCGGGAAAGCAAGUCAGAUGUGAAAACCAUGGGCUCAACCUGUGGCCUGCAUUUGAAACUGUUUUUCUUGAGUACUGGAGAGGCAGACGGAAUUCCUAGUGUAGCGGUGAAAUGCGUAGAUAUUAGGAGGAACACCAGUGGCGAAGGCGGUCUGCUGGACAGCAACUGACGCUGAGGCGCGAAAGCGUGGGGAGCAAACAGGAUUAGAUACCCGUGUAGUC
rnacentral:rRNA from 1 species